rnacentral:lncRNA from 1 species
AGAGCCUCAAAGAGCACCCAGCAUAACUGUGGGAGAAUAGUAAGCAUUGGACACAAAAUGGAAAAGCUGACCUUCUGGUACGGAAGAGCAUGAGCAGUGAGUGAGCAGUGCCCAUGCGUUGUGAGGCGGCCUCCAUGGUAUAAGGUUUAGGCAAAUAAUGAUGAACAAAAAUGGUCAGUCUGUGUUCCUGCUGACCCAGCACAGUGGGGACGCUGUGUAGGACAUGACCUUUGGGGGAAAGGACACAAGAACUCAGCGUGGGGGAUCCAGAAAAGAAGUCGCACGUAUUGAAGCCAGUAACGCCAAGCCAGUGAAUUCUCCUUGACGAGAAAGACCCACUUACUCUGCAGAAGAGAUAUAUGACAGCUGACAAUCCCUGGAGGAGAAUCUUUCUACUAAAUUGACACAGUGAAACUCAGUUUCUGCAGAAUUUGAUUUCAUUUGAGUUACUGGGGAACAAAGCAAUUAGACAAUGAAUAAUAGCUCAAGACAGGCUGAAGCUGAAGAUUUCUGCAAAAGAAUGAAGAGGAAACGUUUUGAUCCUGAGCAGAUGUUCUCCCUAGAUUGCUUCACCUGAGGUUGAUUGACUUUUGGAAACGAGAUUUGUUCCCAGUGCUUUGUGAGUCUCUUGUUGGAAGGACUGUCUUUAAAUUAAAGCAAUUAGAGUUACUUUAUAAGAUUUACCCAAAUAUAAGAGCUGAAGAGAAUAAUUCAAAUUGAUCAGAAGAAAAUACUCAAUUACUGACAAAUGUCAAUUACAUCAAUAGGAGGAGAAAAUGUGUAAUUGUAAGCAGCUGAACUAAAAUAUCUCUGUGACAUUUUGCUGGUGACUCCAGCCCUGUGAGAUCUGAGUGGCUCAGGAAUCAAAUUCUCCCACAAACCUGAGGAAGCCUUUUAUUCUUAAUGCCAACAGGAUGCCCCAUGCCCAGAAUGUCAAAUCUGAACACCAAUGGAAUGCAUUUUAUAAACAAAUUGAAAAAGGACAAUCUUUAACAGAAUUGUUGUUCUCUAGGCAGAUUAGUUGUGCUUCAAAUACAAAAUGAAAUAUUAGAGAACAAAAUUAUUUUUAAACAGCUAAUACUAGUAGAAAAUAAAAGGCUGAAAAGUGC